UGUGAUAAAUUAGUCGGUUAAGCAGAUAAUUAGUUAUCUGAGUGAUGUAAAAAUGUAAACUAUUCUGGUGCAGAGAUCAGGUUAGUGGUUGUAAAGUGUUUGUUUUAUUAAAAAAAGGGUUUAAAAGUAACUAAGCUUAAAAAAGUGUUACAACUUGCUUAUUUAUUAUUUUAUUUUCUUAUGAUAGUCAAUGCCUUUGAACUAGGUGGCUAGGCACAAUGUUAUAAUAAGUAGUUAAAUGUUUGAUUUUAAUUCUCGCUAUAGUUCGAAAUGUUUAUUAAAAACAUUUCCACUUUUAUGCUUAAGUGGUAUGACCUGCUCAGUGUUUGUAUAAAUAGCCGCAGUAUUUUGACUGUGCUAAGGUAGCAUAAUUAAUUGUCCCCUAAAUAGGGAAUUGUUUGAAUGGUUUAUUGGGGUUAUAAGGAAUAAAGUAAGAACAUUUAUGAAAUUAGUAAGGUGGUAAAGAACCCACCUAUAGUACAAUAGACGGAAAGACCCCGAGAGCUUAUUUUAAAAUUUGUUUGGGGCAAAAGCUUGAUUUUAUAAGCAUUUAGAACCCCUAAGGGUUUAUUGGUUAAGUUACCUCGGGGAUAACAGGGUUAGAAGUAAGGAGAGUUCUUAUCGAGUUACUUAGUUGCUACCUCGAUG
rnacentral:rRNA from 1 species